rnacentral:pre_miRNA from 1 species
AUGUGAGUCACCUGGGGAUCUUGUUAAAAUACAGAUUCUGAUUCAGUUUCAUCUUAGGUGUGGCCAGAGAUUCUGAAAUUCUAAUGAGCUCCCAGGUGAUGCCUAU